GACGAACCUUGCUAACGUUAUUCGGAAUUACUGGGCUUAAAGGGUGCGUAGGCGGUGUGGCAAGUCGGGAGUGAAAUCUCUGGGCUCAACCCAGAGACUGCUUCCGAAACUGCUGUGCUUGAGUGUGGGAGAGGCGCGUGGAAUUGCAGGUGUAGCGGUGAAAUGCGUAGAUAUCUGCAGGAACACCCGUGGCGAAAGCGGCGCGCUGGACCACUACUGACGCUGAGGAACGAAAGCUAGGGGAGCAAACAGG
rnacentral:rRNA from 1 species